CAUGUAGGCGGUUGUUUAAGUCUGAUGUGAAAGCCCUGGGCUCAACCCAGGAAGUGCAUUGGAUACUGGAUAACUUGAGUACGGGAGAGGAAAGUGGAAUUUCGAGUGUAGGGGUGAAAUCCGUAGAUAUUCGAAGGAACACCAGUGGCGAAGGCGGCUUUCUGGGCCGAUACUGACGCUGAGAUGCGAAGGCGUGGGGAGCAAACA
rnacentral:rRNA from 1 species